rnacentral:rRNA from 1 species
UACGAAGGGGGCUAGCGUUGCUCGGAAUCACUGGGCGUAAAGCGCACGUAGGCGGACUCUUAAGUCGGGGGUGAAAUCCUGGAGCUCAACUCCAGAACUGCCUUCGAUACUGGGAGUCUUGAGUUCGGGAGAGGUGAGUGGAACUGCGAGUGUAGAGGUGAAAUUCGUAGAUAUUCGCAAGAACACCAGUGGCGAAGGCGGCUCACUGGGCCCGAUACUGACGCUGAGGUGCGAAAGCGUGGGGAGCAAACAGG